ACGGAAGGCAGCAGUGGGGAAUAUUGGACAAUGGGCGAAAGCCUGAUCCAGCGACGCCGCGUGAGUGAAGAAGUAUUUCGGUAUGCAAAGCUCUAUCAGCAGGGAAGAUAAUGACGGUACCUGACUAAGAAGCCCCGGCUAACUACGUGCCAGCAGCCGCGGUAAUACGUAGGGGGCAAGCGUUAUCCGGAUUUACUGGGUGUAAAGGGAGCGUAGACGGCAUGGCAAGUCUGGUGUGAAAGCCCAGGGCUCAACCCUGGGACUGCAUUGGAAACUGUCAAGCUAGAGUGCAGGAGAGGUAAGUGGAAUUCCUAGUGUAGCGGUGAAAUGCGUAGAUAUUAGGAGGAACACCAGUGGCGAAGGCGGCUUACUGGACUGUAACUGACGUUGAGGCUCGAAAGCGUGGGGAGCAAACAGGAUUAGAUACCCUGGUA
rnacentral:rRNA from 1 species